rnacentral:rRNA from 1 species
CAAGUCGAACGCGGUUACCCCGCAAGGGGUAACUGAGUGGCGAACGGGUGAGUAACACGUGGGUGACCUACCUUCGAGUGGGGGAUAACGUCCCGAAAGGGACGCUAAUACCGCAUAACAUCCUGCCUUUGAACAGGUGGAGAUCAAAGCCGGGGACCGCAAGGCCCGGCGCUUGAUGAGGGGCCCGCGUCCGAUUAGCUAGUUGGUGGGGUAAUGGCUCACCAAGGCAACGAUCGGUAGCCGGCCUGAGAGGGCGGACGGCCACACUGGGACUGAGACACGGCCCAGACUCCUACGGGAGGCAGCAGUGGGGAAUUGUUCGCAAUGGGCGCAAGCCUGACGACGCAACGCCGCGUGGAGGAUGAAGGUCUUCGGAUUGUAAACUCCUGUUGCCCGGGACGAAUGGCUCCGACCUAAUACGUCGGAGUGUGACGGUACCGGGUGAGGAAGCCCCGGCUAACUCUGUGCCAGCAGCCGCGGUAAUACAGAGGGGGCAAGCGUUGUUCGGAAUUACUGGGCGUAAAGGGCGCGUAGGCGGCCUGUUAAGUCGAACGUGAAAUCCCCGGGCUCAACCCGGGAACUGCGUCCGAUACUGGCAGGCUUGAAUCCGGGAGAGGGAUGCGGAAUUCCAGGUGUAGCGGUGAAAUGCGUAGAUAUCUGGAGGAACACCGGUGGCGAAGGCGGCAUCCUGGACCGGUAUUGACGCUGAUGCGCGAAAGCCAGGGGAGCAAACGGGAUUAGAUACCCCGGUAGUCCUGGCCCUAAACGAUGAAUGCUUGGUGUGGCGGGUAUCGAUCCCUGCCGUGCCGAA